rnacentral:rRNA from 1 species
UGGGGAAUAUUGCACAAUGGGCGAAAGCCUGAUGCAGCGACGCCGCGUGAGGGAUGACGGCCUUCGGGUUGUAAACCUCUUUCAGCAGGGACGAAGCGCAAGUGACGGUACCUGCAGAAGAAGCACCGGCUAACUACGUGCCAGCAGCCGCGGUAAUACGUAGGGUGCGAGCGUUGUCCGGAAUUAUUGGGCGUAAAGAGCUCGUAGGCGGUUUGUCGCGUCGGCCGUGAAAACUUGGGGCUUAACCCCGAGCCUGCGGUCGAUACGGGCAGACUUGAGUUCGGCAGGGGAGACUGGAAUUCCUGGUGUAGCGGUGAAAUGCGCAGAUAUCGAGGAG